rnacentral:rRNA from 1 species
AGAGUUUGAUCAUGGCUCAGAUUGAACGCUGGCGGCAUGCUUUACACAUGCAAGUCGAACGGCAGCACAGGGAGCUUGCUCCCGGGUGGCGAGUUGGCGCACGGGUGAGUAAUACAUCGGAACAUGUCCUGUUNUGGGGGAUAACUGCUCGAAAGGGUGGCUAAUACCGCAUGAGACCUGAGGGUGAAAGCGGGGGAUCGCAAGACCUCGCGCAAUUGGAGCGGCCGAUGCCCGAUUAGCUAGUUGGUGAGGUAAAGGCUCACCAAGGCGACGAUCGGUAGCUGGUCUGAGAGGACGACCAGCCACACUGGGACUGAGACACGGCCCAGACUCCUACGGGAGGCAGCA